rnacentral:rRNA from 1 species
ACCUACGGGGGGCAGCAGUGGGGGAUAUUGCACAAUGGGGGAAACCCUGAUGCAGCGACGCCGCGUGAGCGAUGAAGUAUUUCGGUAUGUAAAGCUCUAUCAGCAGGGAAGAAAAUGACGGUACCUGACUAAGAAGCCCCGGCUAACUACGUGCCAGCAGCCGCGGUAAUACGUAGGGGGCAAGCGUUAUCCGGAUUUACUGGGUGUAAAGGGAGCGUAGACGGCAAUGCAAGCCAGGAGUGAAAGCCCGGGGCCCAACCCCGGGACUGCUCUUGGAACUGCGUGGCUGGAGUACAGGAGGGGCG